rnacentral:rRNA from 1 species
UGUAAGCGUUGUGAGGCGUUGAGCUAACCAGUACUAAUUGCCCGUGAGGCUUGACCAUAUAACACCCAAACA